ensembl:misc_RNA Metazoa_SRP Metazoan signal recognition particle RNA
GCUGGGCGUGGUGGCUCAUGCUUGUAAUCCCAGCACCUUGGGUGGCUGAGGCAGGAGGAUUGCUUGAGCCUAGGAGUUUGAGACCGCAGUGAAUUAUGAUCAUGCCACUGUGCUCCAGCCUGGGCAACACAGCAAGACCCUGUCUUAA